rnacentral:rRNA from 1 species
GGGCGCAAGCCUGAGGCAGCCCUGCCGCGUGUAUGACGAAGGCCUUCGGGUUGUGAAGUACUUUCAGAAGGGUGCUCCGUGAUCAGGGGGAUAACCCUGUCGAUUGAGAAAAGAAGCAGAAGAAGCACCGGAUAACGACGUGCCAGCAGCCGCGGGAAUACCGAGGGUGCAAGCGUUAAUCGGAAUUACUGGGCGUAAAGCGCACGCAGGCGGGCUGUCAAGUCGGAUGUGAAAUCCCCGGGCUCAACCUGGGAACUGCAUUCGAAACUGGCAGGCUAGAGUCUUGUACAGGGGGGUAGAAUUCCAGGUGUAGCGGGGAAAUGCGUACAGAUCUGGAGGAAUACCGGUGGCGAAGGCGGCCCCCUGGACAAAGACUGACGCUCAUGUGCGAAAGCUUGGGGAGCAAACAAGAUUAAAUUCCCUGGUAAUCCACCCCGUAAACGAUGUCCACUUGGAGGUUGUGCCCUUGAGGCAUGGCUUCCGGAGCUAACGCGUUAAGUCGACCGCCUGGGGAGUACGGCCGCAAGGUUUAAACUCAAAUGAAUUGACGGGG